rnacentral:misc_RNA from 1 species
GAUGAAGAACGUAGCGAAAUGCGAUACUUGGUGUGAAUUGCAGAAUCCCGUGAACCAUCGAGUCUUUGAACGCAAGUUGCGCCCGAAGCCACUAGGCCGAGGGCACGCCUGCCUGGGCGUCACACGCCGUUGCCCCCCCAUCUACUCCUUCGGGAUUGCGGGGGGGCGGAUGAGGGCCUCCCGUGCGCCUAGCCGCGCGGUUGGCAUAAAUACCAAGUCCUCGGCGACGCACGCCACGACAAUCGGUGGUUGCGAAACCUCGGUUGCCCGUCGUGUGCGUUCGUCGCGCAUCGAGGGCUCGAAAAAAUGCUCGGCUCCGGCUGGGCUUUCAACGCGACCCCAGGUCAGGCGGGGUUACCCGCUGAAUUUAAGCAUAUCAAUAAGCGGAGGA